rnacentral:lncRNA from 12 species
GAGAAACCCCCGUCCACGGGGGCAACCCCGAGCUCUCAUCCUCUUCCCCGCGGAACAGGCACGUCCCGGGGGAGUGAAGAGACCCCCAGCAGCACAUUCCAGCCCGGGGGUCUGGGGGUUCGCACCGCGGUCCCACCGACCUCACCCGCAGCCCCGCCCCGCCGCGCCACCCUUUGCACCUGAAAUUUUUUGGUUGCGGGUGGGGAGAAAAAACCAGCGGUUCCCAGGGAGGCAGCCCCGAGGGGUGAUGCCUUGGGGGUUUUCUUGGCAUCUUUGUUUUGGUGGUUUUUUUUUCCAGCCAACACCAAACUUCCCACGUGCUUCUCCCCAAACCCCGCAUUAUCAGGGAAUAAUUAAGGCGUGUAAAAACACGGCGAGGCGAAGCCCUUGAGCUGGAAGUGGCCGUCCAAGGCGCUAUUUGAGCUCCUGGCCCCUUCCUCUCGCCCGACGCCGGGGCUGCUGCGGGCAGGGUGAGCCCCGAGGCCGGGCCGGGGCUCCCGAGCUUUUGCGGGGCUCUGGAGGUGCGGUUUCCUCAUCUGCCACCGCUCCUUCGUGGAAGCUCAACCCGCAGCCGCCUCCAGACACCACCUUUGGGCUUUCCCUUUUCUAAUACAUCUUUUCUUUUUUUUCUUUUUCUUUCUUUCUUUGGUUUCUUGCUUUUGUAUGAUUUGAUUAAUCUAAAAUAAAUACUUAAUCAUUAUUACAUUUCUAAACGCUCUCAACCGAAACAGAGUUCGACCUUCAGCGCAAGUAACCACGGCCACAAUUCCUGCUGAAUUUUGCCUUGGUCUCACAAAACUAAGCUUUCCCUCUCUCUCCCACAUAAAAGCCUUCCCAGAGCAGGCACUGAAAUGAAAACCAAACCAGCACCGAGUGGGCUGGGCUGUGCGGAGCCGACCCGACCCCCUCCCCACCCGGGGCAGCUCCCCUCUGCCUCCGGCUUCUCUCCGUUCCGAGGUCCUUUCAAGCUUUAUUUCCUUUCAAGCCGCCCGAGCGCCACUCACAAAAUAAAAUUAUCGAGGAAAUAAGCUCGAGAGAAAAAGCCAGUGGUGCUUUUCCUCCCCCGGACCUGCUCCCUCCAGUGAAGGAACCCUUCCAGAAGAGGAGGAAUAACCUGUCCCGGGAGAGCUUCUUGCCGAAGCACGGGGGGGAACACGCGUGGGAGCGCAGCGAGCGACGACCCCUCCGAAAAUGGUUUUGGUCCGGCAAGCGGGGUUUGGUUCGCACGCCCGAGGGUUCGCUCCCAGGAAAAGCGGCGCUCGGGCCAAGCAGGGACAUUAUUGAAUGGAUAACAACGUUUUCCAACAGAAACAAUAACGGAGGGGCAAGCCAACGCAGAACCCGAGUUGAGCAGAAGCAGCCCGAGCCCUCGGGCAGCCGGGCGAGCGUCGCCGACCCCGGGACGGCGAGUGCAGCCGGGCAUCAGCUCCGGACACCCGCCCGGGCGUGCCCGCCCGCAGGUCCGUGGUUACGGCCGCUCCUGGCGCUCCAGAGCCG